AUUGAACGCUGGCGGCAUGCCUUACACAUGCAAGUCGAACGGUAACAGGUCUUCGGAUGCUGACGAGUGGCGAACGGGUGAGUAAUACAUCGGAACGUGCCUAGUAGUGGGGGAUAACUACUCGAAAGAGUGGCUAAUACCGCAUGAGAUCUACGGAUGAAAGCAGGGGCUCGCAAGACCUUGUGCUACUAGAGCGGCCGAUGGCAGAUUAGGUAGUUGGUGGGAUAAAAGCUUACCAAGCCGACGAUCUGUAGCUGGUCUGAGAGGACGAUCAGCCACACUGGGACUGAGACACUGCCCAGACUCCUACGGGAGGCAGCAGUGGGGAAUUUUGGACAAUGGGCGCAAGCCUGAUCCAGCAAUGCCGCGUGCAGGAUGAAGGCCUUCGGGUUGUAAACUGCUUUUGUACGGAACGAAAAGCCCUGGGUUAAUACCCUGGGGUCAUGACGGUACCGUAAGAAUAAGCACCGGCUAACUACGUGCCAGCCGCCGCAGUAA
rnacentral:rRNA from 1 species